AAUAGCCUAACGGCUGAACCAGCAAUUUGGGAGAAUGACGGAGGAUAGAUGAUGACUAGUGGGGCCAGAUAAAUAAUUGUUGUCUUGCAGGGUUCGGCUUUAUCGCUUUCUGGCGAGGAUCGGCUUAGUCGAAUAAAGUUCUAGGUAGAAUAAUGAUUAUGACAAUUUUCUAUCUAAAUGUCUUGACCAAGUCACGUGCCAGCAGUCGCGGUAAUACGUGGAAGACUAGUGUUAUUCAUCUUUAAUAGGUUUAAAGGGUACCUAGACGGUACUUCUAGCCCCCACAAAGGGUACGGAUUUACUAGAGUUUUAUGUGAGAGGCAAAUAUUAGUACUAUUGGUGUAGAGAUGAAAUUCGUUGAUACUAUUAGGACUGGUGGCGGCGAAAGCAACCCUCUAAGUAUAAACUGACGUUGAGGGACGAAGGCUUGGGUAGCGAACAGGAAAACCCUAGUAGUCCAGGCAGAAAAUUAUGAGUGCCAUAGAUUAGAUUAAGUACCAUUGUACUCCUCAUGGUAUCCUUUUAUCGAUUUAGAUUAGGUGAAGUGGGGUUUGAUGCUAGUAUUACUCUAAGUUUACUAGUAGUUCAAAUCAUAUAAAGAUUGCUAGCAAUCUUUAAUGAUUCUAAGAUGUACUGUGGUCUAUAAAUGAAAGUGUAAGCAUUCCACCUCAAGAGUAAUGUGGCAACGCAGGAACUGAAAUCAUUAGACCGUUUCUGAAACCAGUAGUGAAGUAUGUUAUUUAAUUCGAUAACCCACGAAAAACCUUACCACAAUAUGAAUGUAAUAUAUCUAGUAGUUUAAUAGUUGUAUAGUUAAAAAAACUAGAUGUAUUAACACAAGUGUUGCACGGCUGUUUGCAGUUAAUGUCGUGAGAACUUGGUUAGAUCCAUUAAAUUAACGUAAUCCCUUUCAUUAGUUGUCUGUACUAAUGGAGUUCACCGCUAUAUUGGAUAUGAUAACAGGGAAUA
rnacentral:rRNA from 1 species